rnacentral:tRNA from 1 species
CGGGAUAUAGCUCAGUGGUACAGCACCUGCCUGGCAGGCAGGUGUUCAUUUCUCGG